rnacentral:rRNA from 1 species
CAAAGGGAUUACCGGUGGCGGAUGGGCAUGCGGCGCAUUAGCUAGUCGGCGGGGUAACGGCCCACCGAGGCGACGAUGCGUAGGGGUUCUGAGAGGAAGGUCCCCCACACUGGUACUGAGACACGGACCAGACUCCUACGGGAGGCAGCAGUGAGGAAUAUUGGUCAAUGGGCGCGAGCCUGAACCAGCCAAGUCGCGUGAGGGAUGACGGUCCUACGGAUUGUAAACCUCUUUUGCCGGGGAGCAAGCGUGCGUUCGUGAACGCGCGUCGAGAGUACCCGGAGAAAAAGCAUCGGCUAACUCCGUGCCAGCAGCCGCGGUAAUACGGAGGAUGCGAGCGUUAUCCGGAUUUAUUGGGUUUAAAGGGUGCGUAGGCGGGAUGCCAAGUCAGCGGUAAAAAUGCGGUGCUCAACGCCGUCGAGCCGUUGAAACUGGCGUUCUUGAGUGGGCGAGAAGUAUGCGGAAUGCGUGGUGUAGCGGUGAAAUGCAUAGAUAUCACGCAGAACUCCGAUUGCGAAGGCAGCAUACCGGCGCCCUACUGACGCUGAGGCACGAAAGCGUGGGUAUCGAACAGGAUUAGAUACCCUGGUAGUCCACGCAGUAAACGAUGAAUGCUAACUGUCCGGUGCGAGUGAGCGCUGG